UGGGGAAUAUUGGACAAUGGGCGCAAGCCUGAUCCAGCCAUGCCGCGUGAGUGAUGAAGGCCCUAGGGUUGUAAAGCUCUUUCACCGGUGAAGAUAAUGACGGUAACCGGAGAAGAAGCCCCGGCUAACUUCGUGCCAGCAGCCGCGGUAAUACGAAGGGGGCUAGCGUUGUUCGGAUUUACUGGGCGUAAAGCGCACGUAGGCGGACUAUUAAGUCAGGGGUGAAAUCCCGGGGCUCAACCCCGGAACUGCCUUUGAUACUGGUAGUCUUGAGUUCGAGAGAGGUGAGUGGAAUUCCGGGUGUAGAGGUGAAAUUCGUAGAUAUAAGGAGGAACACCAGUGGCGAAGGCGGCUCACUGGCUCGAUACUGACGCUGAGGUGCGAAAGCGUGGGGAGCAAACAGG
rnacentral:rRNA from 1 species